GAUGAACGCUGGCGGCGUGCCUAAUACAUGCAAGUCGAGCGAACUGAUUAGAAGCUUGCUUCUAUGACGUUAGCGGCGGACGGGUGAGUAACACGUGGGCAACCUGCCUGUAAGACUGGGAUAACUUCGGGAAACCGAAGCUAAUACCGGAUAGGAUCUUCUCCUUCAUGGGAGAUGAUUGAAAGAUGGUUUCGGCUAUCACUUACAGAUGGGCCCGCGGUGCAUUAGCUAGUUGGUGAGGUAACGGCUCAAAAAGGCAACGAUGCAUAACCAGCCUGAGAGGGUGCUCGGCCACACUGGGACUGAGACACGGCCCAGACUCCUACUGGAGGCAGCAGUAGGGAAUCUUCCGCAAUGGACGAAAGUCUGACGGAGCAACGCCGCGUGAGUGAUGAAGGCUUUCGGGUCGUAAAACUCUGUUGUUAGGGAAGAACAAGUACAAGAGUAACUGCUUGUACCUUGACGGUACCUAACCAGAAAGCCGCGGCUAACUACGUGCCAGCAGCCGCAGUAACAC
rnacentral:rRNA from 1 species